CAUGUUGAAAUAUCGGUUCCCGUACGAUCACCAAAGAUAAGCAACGUCGGGCCUAGUCAGUACCUGGAUGGGUGGCCGCUUGGAAAUACUAUGUGCUGUAAG